GAUGAACGCUGGCGGCGUGCUUAAUACAUGCAAGUCGCGCGACCACACGAGGAGUUCUUUCCUCCGAUGUUAGCGACCGACGGGCGAGUAACAAGCGGAUAACCAACCUAUCAUUCACCGCUAACUAACGCAACCCGAAUCUAAUUCCGGAUGUAAUAUUUAACUUCAUGGUACCAUAUUGAAAGAAGGGUUUGCUCUCACUUAUAGAUGGAUUCGCGCCGCUUUAGUUAGCUGGGAAGGUAACGCCUAACCAAGGCGCCGAUGCGUAGCCGACCUGUGAGGGGGAGCAGCCACACUGGAACGGAGACACGGUACAGACUCCUACGGGAGGCAGCGGUGGAGAAUCGUACGCAAGGGGCGAAGGCCAGGCGGAGCACAGCCGAGUGGGGGAUGAAGUUCUUCGGAUCGUAAAACUCUGUUAUUAUGGAAGAACAAAUGUGUGAGUAACGAUUCGCGUCUUGACGGUACCUAAUCAGAAAGCCACGGCUAACUACGUG
rnacentral:rRNA from 1 species